rnacentral:sRNA from 1 species
ACAUAGCCCUGAUGGGAACGGCAUCCUUUUUUGGCAUUGCGAUGAAAACGUCAAUUGAAAUGGCUUCCCGUCGUUCGCAAUGACAAAAAAGAUAUAGUGGACAGCAGGUUGGAAU